CCUACGGGUGGCAGCAGUGGGGGAUAUUGCACAAUGGGGGAAACCCUGAUGCAGCGACGCCGCGUGAGGGAAGAAGUAUUUCGGUAUGUAAACCUCUAUCAGCAGGGAAGAAAAUGACGGUACCUGACUAAGAAGCCCCGGCUAACUACGUGCCAGCAGCCGCGGUAAUACGUAGGGGGCAAGCGUUAUCCGGAUUUACUGGGUGUAAAGGGAGCGUAGGCGGUUUAGUAAGUCUGGAGUGAAAGCCCGGGGCUCAACUCCGGGACUGCUUUGGAAACUGUGGAACUUGAUUGCAGGAGGGGUAGGUGGAAUUCCUGGUGUAGCGGUGAAAUGCGUAGAUAUCAGGAGGAACACCGGUGGCGAAGGCGGCCUACUGGACUGUAAAUGACGCUGAGGCUCGAAAGCGUGGGGAGCAAACAGGAUUAGAUACCCUUGUAGUC
rnacentral:rRNA from 1 species